rnacentral:rRNA from 1 species
GUAUGGGAGUGAGAAUGUUGGCAUGAGUAGCGAGAUGUGGGUGGGAAUCCCACAGGCCGUAAACCCAAGGUUUCCAGGGGAAGGUUCGUCCGCCCUGGGUUAGUCGGGACCUAAGCUGAGGCCGAAAGGCGUAGGUGAUGGACAACAGGUUGAUAUUCCUGUACUACCGAUAACCGUUUGAGAGAAGGGAUGACACAGUAGGAUAAGCUAAGCACACUGUUGGUUAUGUGUGCCCAAGCAUUGAGGCAGUCAAAGUAGGCAAAUCCGCUUUGAUAAUGCUGGGAUGUGAUGGGGAGCGAAAUUUAGUAGCGAAGUAGCUGAUUUCACACUGUCAAGAAAAGUCUCUAUCGAGGUUAAAGGUACCCGUACCGCAAACCGACACAGGUGGGUGAGGAGAGUAUCCUAAGGCCAGCGAGAGAACUGUUGUUAAGGAACUCGGCAAAAUGACCCCGUAACUUAGGGAUAAGGGGUGCCACCAUCAGGUGGCCGCAGAGAAUAGGCCCAAGCGACUGUUUACCAAAAACAUAGGUUUCUGCUAAGUCGCAAGACGAUGUAUAGGAGCUGACGCCUGCCCGGUGCUGGAAGGUUAAGGGGAUCUGUUAGAGCAAUCGAAGCAGUGAACUUAAGCCCCAGUAAACGGCGGCCGUAACUAUAACGGUCCUAAGGUAGCGAAAUUCCUUGUCGGGUAAGUUCCGACCCGCACGAAAGGCGUAACGAUUUGGGCACUGUCUCAACAACAGACUCGGUGAAAUUGUAAUUCCGGUGAAGAUGCCGGAUACCUGCGACAGGACGGAAAGACCCCAUGGAGCUUUACUGUAGCUUGACAUUGGGUCUUGGUACUACAUGUACAGGAUAGGUGGGAGGCUUUGAAACCAGGACGCCAGUUUUGGCGGAGCCAUCCUUGGGAUACCACCCUUGUAGUACUGGGACUCUAACCAUAGGCCAUGAAUCUGGUCUUGGGACACUGUCAGGUGGGCAGUUUGACUGGGGCGGUCGCCUCCCAAAAGGUAACGGAGGCGCUCAAAGGUUCUCUCAGUACGGUCGGAAAUCGUACGUAGAGUGUAAAGGCAAAAGAGAGCUUGAUUGCAAGACAUACAGGUCGAGCAAGGAUGAAAAUCGGACUUAGUGAUCCGGUGGUUCUGCGUGGAAGGGCCAUCGCUCAACGGAUAAAAGCUACCCUGGGGAUAACAGGCUUAUCUCCCCCAAGAGUCCACAUCGACGGGGAGGUUUGGCACCUCGAUGUCGGCUCAUCACAUCCUGGGGCUGUAGUAGGUCCCAAGGGUUGGGCUGUUCGCCCAUUAAAGUGGUACGCGAGCUGGGUUCAGAACGUCGUGAGACAGUUCGGUCCCUAUCCGUCGCAGGCGUAGGAAAUUUGAGAAGACCUGUCCUUAGUACGAGAGGACCGGGAUGGACGUACCUCUGGUGUACCAGUUGUCCUGCCAAGGGCAUGGCUGGGUAGCUAUGUACGGAAUGGAUAAGCGCUGAAAGCAUCUAAGCGCGAAGCCAACUUCAAGAUAAGAUUUCCCACCGCAAGGGUAAGACCCCAGAAAGACUAUCUGGUUGA